rnacentral:rRNA from 1 species
GAUGAACGCUAGCUACAGGCUUAACACAUGCAAGUCGAGGGGAAACGAUAUUGGAAGCUUGCUUCUGAUAGGCGUCGACCGGCGCACGGGUGAGUAACGCGUAUCCAACCUGCCCAUCACUUGGGGAUAACCUUGUGAAAGUAAGACUAAUACCCAAUGACGUCUCUAGAAGACAUCUGAAAGAGAUUAAAGAUUUAUCGGUGAUGGAUGGGGAUGCGUCUGAUUAGCUUGUUGGCGGGGUAACGGCCCACCAAGGCGACGAUCAGUAGGGGUUCUGAGAGGAAGGUCCCCCCACAUUGGAACUGAGACACGGUCCAAACUCCUACGGGAGGCAGCAGUGAGGAAUAUUGGUCAAUGGGCGAGAGCCUGACCAGCCAAGUAGCGUGCAGGAUGACGGCCCUAUGGGUUGUAAACUGCUUUUAUAAGGGAAUAAAGUGAGUCUCGUGAGACUUUUUGCAUGUACCUUAUGAAUAAGGACCGGCUAAUUCCGUGCCAGCAG